UAUGGUGCUUAUAGCUUUGGGGUCACACCCGUUCCCAUUCCGAAUACGGAAGUAAAGUCCAAAGCGAUGAAGAUACUCGGUGGGCGACUGCCCGGGAAAAUAAUUAGUGCCAGAU
rnacentral:rRNA from 1 species